rnacentral:rRNA from 1 species
CCUACGGGUGGCAGCAGUGGGGAAUAUUGCACAAUGGGGGAAACCCUGAUGCAGCGACGCCGCGUGAGUGAAGAAGUAUUUCGGUAUGUAAAGCUCUAUCAGCAGGAACGAGACAAGACGGUACCUGACUAAGAAGCCCCGGCUAACUACGUGCCAGCAGCCGCGGUAAUACGUAGGGGGCAAGCGUUAUCCGGAAUCACUGGGUGUAAAGGGAGCGUAGACGGCUGUGCAAGCCUGAAGUGAAAGGCGGGGGCCCAACCCCUGUACUGCUUUGGGAACUGUACGGCUGGAGUGCAGGAGAGGUAAGUGGAAUUCCUGGUGUAGCGGUGAAAUGCGUAGAUAUUAGGCGGAACACCAGUGGCGAAGGCGGCUUACUGGACUGUAACUGACGUUGAGGCUCGAAAGCGUGGGGAGCGAACAGGAUUAGAUACCCCAGUAGUC